GUGCUCGCUUCGGCAGCACAUAUACUAAAAAAUUGGAACGAUACAGAGAAGAUUAGCAUGGCCCCUGCGCAAGGAGAGGGAAAGCUAUCAUCAGCCUUUGACCUGAUUAAU
rnacentral:snRNA from 1 species